GAUGAACGCUGGCGGCGUGCCUAAUACAUGCAAGUCGAGCGAACAGACGAGGAGCUUGCUCCUCUGACGUUAGCGGUGGACGGGUGAGUAACACGUGGAUAACCUACCUAUAAGACUGGGAUAACUUCGGGAAACCGGAGCUAAUACCGGAUAACAUGUUGAACCGCAUGGUUCAACAGUGAAAGACGGUCUUGCUGUCACUUAUAGAUGGAUCCGCGCCGCAUUAGCUAGUUGGUAAGGUAACGGCUUACCAAGGCAACGAUGCGUAGCCGACCUGAGAGGGUGAUCGGCCACCCUGGAACUGAGACACGGUCCAGACUCCUACGGGAUGCAGCAGUAGGGAAUCUUCCGCAAUGGGCGAAAGCCUGACGGAGCAACGCCGCGUGAGUGAAGAAGGUCUUCGGAUCGUAAAACUCUGUUAUUAGGGAAGAACAAAUGUGUAAGUAACUAUGCACGUCUUGACGGUACCUAAUCAGAAAGCCACGGCUAACUACGUG
rnacentral:rRNA from 1 species